rnacentral:piRNA from 1 species
UCUGUGCGGAACUCAGAAACA